UAAGUGGUUCAGUUACAUUAGAGAAAAUUUCUGUAAGAUCUUCCACGAUGUUGCUCGUAUUUAGGCCUGUUGGAAACUCGAUGACCUCAACACACCUACUAUAGUGGACUUAAUAUCUACAACUAAUACUACACCAACUUUCUGAAGUCGGUUAACUUUUUAUUUUCUAACUUCUUAGUGCACUAUAAUACUCAAGUGGCAAAGCCGACCACAUAUCAUUCAGGUCGGCUCUAUGGUCGACUCUGCCGACCAUAUAUCAUUCAGGUGGCAGAGCCGACCAUAUAUUAAAUUCAACCCAAGUGCAUUAACUACUUAAUUAGAAACCGAAGGCUUAACUGAGACUUACAAUUACAAGAGAAGAAAACAUUUUUAUUAAUACACAACACAAUUACAAUAUGACGCACACUUACCUCACUACUCUUCUCUUUUCUACCUCUACCUUUCACACUCUUUUGCUUAUGGCUCUCUC
rnacentral:lncRNA from 1 species